rnacentral:rRNA from 1 species
UACGUAGGGUGCGAGCGUUGUCCGGAAUUAUUGGGCGUAAAGAGCUCGUAGGCGGUUUGUUGCGUCUAUCGUGAAAACCUGCAGCUUAACUGUGGGCUUGCGGUGGAUACGGGCAGACUUGAGUUCGGUAGGGGAGACUGGAAUUCCUGGUGUAGCGGUGAAAUGCGCAGAUAUCAGGAGGAACACCCGUGGCGAAGGCGGCUCCCUGGUCCGUCCCCGACGCUGAGGAGCGAAAGCGUGGGGAGCGAACAGG